rnacentral:tRNA from 1 species
GUCGGUAUAGCUCAAUGGCAGAGCGUCUCUGAGUGGUCCAGAGACGAUGUUGGUUCGAUUCCAGCGACCGACA